CUACUUACUUGGCAGGGGAGAUACCAUGAUCACAAAAGUGGAGAUACCAUGAUACCAUGAUCAGGGCAAGGCUUACCCAUUGCACUCCCGAGAUUUCCCCAAAUAUGGGAAACUCUACUGUGUAAUUUGUGGUAAUGGGGGACUAGGUUCCCACUUUCCCCUG